rnacentral:lncRNA from 1 species
GUCGUACCCGUAUAUAUCCAGAAGGCCAAGCAUACAAGAUGGAGAAAGACUAGCAGAUUAAGGUGACAUUAAAGCACCUUAUGCAUCCUAGGUAUGAAAUUUCCAUUAAUUUGAUAAGAAACCAUCCUCAUAUCAAGUGUAUAUUUCAGCUAAAAUACUAGAAGACUUUUGGAUCUUUACUUGGAGCGAAAAUAGAAGACAAUAAUAAAUAGGAACGGAUCCUUUGCGGUACUCAAAAAAUACCGUAGGGUACUGUGCAUGUUUCGAAAAUGUCUAUCAAAAGAUGAAUGGCUGCACGCACGUAGAAAUACUAAGAAAAGAUAAAUAGAUAAAUCUCAAGGAUAUUUGAAUAGUUUAGAUAAACAUCGCAUGACCAUCCAUCUUUUGAUGGAUGUCCAAUAUAUGCACAGCACCCUGCGGUACUUUUUGAAUACCGCAGA